GUUGCCUCGGCGGGGUCACGCCCCGGGUGCGUCGCAGCCCCGGAACCAGGCGCCCGCCGGAGGAACCAACCAAACUCUUUCUGUAGUCCCCUCGCGGACGUAUUUCUUACAGCUCUGAGCAAAAAUUCAAAAUGAAUCAAAACUUUCAACAACGGAUCUCUUGGUUCUGGCAUCGAUGAAGAACGCAGCGAAAUGCGAUAAGUAAUGUGAAUUGCAGAAUUCAGUGAAUCAUCGAAUCUUUGAACGCACAUUGCGCCCGCCAGUAUUCUGGCGGGCAUGCCUGUCCGAGCGUCAUUUCAACCCUCGAACCCCUCCGGGGGAUCGGCGUUGGGGAUCGGGACCCCUCACACGGGUGCCGGCCCCUAAAUACAGUGGCGGUCUCGCCGCAGCCUCUCCUGCGCAGUAGUUUGCACAACUCGCACCGGGAGCGCGGCGCGUCCACGUCCGUAAAACACCCAACUUUCUGAAAUGUUGACCUCGGAUCAGGUAGGAAUACCCGCUGAACUUAAGCAUAUCAAUAAGCGGAGGGAA
rnacentral:rRNA from 1 species